rnacentral:rRNA from 1 species
UCGAGGAUCUUCGGCAAUGGGCGCAAGCCUGACCGAGCGACGCCGCGUGCGGGAUGAAGGCCUUCGGGUUGUAAACCGCUGUCGGAGGGGAGGAAAUGCUAGGGGGUUCUCCCCCUGGUUUGACCUAUCCUCGGAGGAAGUACGGGCUAAGUUCGUGCCAGCAGCCGCGGUAAGACGAACCGUACGAACGUUAUUCGGAAUCACUGGGCUUAAAGGGUGCGUAGGCGGCGCAGAAAGUUGGGUGUGAAAUCCCUCGGCUUAACCGAGGAAUUGCGCCCAAAACUGCUGUGCUUGAGGGAGACAGAGGUGAGCGGAACUUAGGGUGGAGCGGUGAAAUGCGUUGAUAUCCUAAGGAACACCGGUGGCGAAAGCGGCUCACUGGGUCUCUUCUGACGCUGAGGCACGAAAGCUAGGGGAGCAAACGGGAUUAGAUACCCCCGUAGUCC